CUUCCUCUUAAAAGUGUACAUUGUACUUCAUUACCCAGAAACACUACGGGGAUAAUAAACGAAAUGUCCUUUUCUCAGUUGGAGUAUAUACGUGCGUGGGGAGCGAAGUAGAGUUUUGCCACCAAAAGCUGGACCUUCCAGAUUACAGCCCUCCGCCCACACUAAAGCAGCAAGAUGGCGCAAGCUGUCCAGUGAGGAUUGGGGCUGUGUGGAAAGAGAGCGUUGCCUUCAGGGCCCCAUCUGGUCGUCCAAAGGGAAAGCAGUACCUGCAGAUGCAAAACGUGGGCGGUCAUCACAUUUAGAAACAAUCUCAAGGACAACUGUAUGAAAAAGAAGAAGAAUAGGAAAAUGGAAGCAGAGGCAGAGAGACGUCAGUCAGCGUCAACAGAUGGCUGCCUCCUUUCAUCUAAUUACACUGAUGAAGGAAGAUUUUCUCACCUCCAGCUCCAUCUGAGCGCAGACGAGGCGGUUCAGGGAGGUUUCAUGUUGCUAAAUUGACAAGUGAACAGAACUAAAUAAACAAAGGCACGCGGUCACGCA